AUACGGAGGAUCCGAGCGUUAUCCGGAUUUAUUGGGUUUAAAGGGUGCGCAGGCGGCAAUUUAAGUCAGCGGUUAAAUCGUGGGGCUCAACCCCAUUCUGCCGUUGAUACUGGGUGGCUUGAUUGCGGUCGAGGUUGGCGGAAUUCGUUGUGUAGCGGCGAAAUGCAUAGAUAUGACGAAGAACACCGGUUGCGUAGGCAGCUGACCAGAUCGCAAAUGACGCUCAUGCACGAAAGUGCGGGGAUCGAACAGGAUUAGAUACCCUGGUAGUCCGCACAGUAAACGAUGAAUACUUGUUUUCGGCGAUAUAAUGUCGGAGGCAAAGCGAAAGCGAUAAGUAUUCCACCUGGGGAGUACGCCGGCAACGGUGAAACUUAAAGGAAUUGACGGGG
rnacentral:rRNA from 1 species